AGUAAAUUGGUUAAGUUAGAAAGGGCGCACGGUGGAUGCCUUGGCACUAGGAGCCGAAGAAGGACGGGACUAACACCGAUAUGCUUUGGGGAGCUGUACGUAAGCGUUGAUCCAGAGAUUUCCGAAUGGGGGAACCCACUAUCUUUAGUCGGAUAGUAUCCUUACGUGAAUACAUAGCGUGAGGAAGGCAGACCCAGGGAACUGAAACAUCUAAGUACCUGGAGGAAGAGAAAGAAAAAUCGAUUUCCUGAGUAGCGGCGAGCGAAACGGAAAGAGCCCAAACCAAGAAGCUUGCUUCUUGGGGUUGUAGGACACUCUAUACGGAGUUACAAAAGAAAGUUAUAAAUGAAGCGGUCUGGAAAGGCCCGCCAAAGACGGUAACAGCCCGGUAGUUGAAAUGGCUUUCCCUCCAGAGUGGAACCUGAGUACGGCGGAACACGUGAAAUUCCGUCGGAAUCCGGGAGGACCAUCUCCCAAGGCUAAAUACUCCCUAGUGACCGAUAGUGAACCAGUACCGUGAGGGAAAGGUGAAAAGCACCCCGGAAGGGGAGUGA
rnacentral:rRNA from 1 species